GGCAUUUUCUAUCGUUGAAUGUAUGGAAACCCAGAAUGCUCUGAAAACUAAGAAAUUAAUCAGUUUGAGCACGCAGCAGUUAAUAGAUUGUGCCCGAGGGGGUGGUGACAAUGGUUGUAAGGGCGGUAACAUCUGUACAACAUUGGCUUGGAUGAAUGACACAAAGUACAAGGAAGUUCAUGAGAAAGACUACCCCUUCAAAGAAAAGACCGGAACCUGUAGGAACAGUAGUACUGGAAUUCUGUCUAUCAUGGACUACUGGUGUACUGAUAUGGUAAACCAUGAGGAUGAUAUGAUAGCCAGUCUAUAUAACCACGGACCAUUGGCAGUCGCAGUUGAUGCAUCAACAUGGCAAGAUUAUAUAGAGGGCGUGAUUCAACACCAUUGCUCAGCCAUGUAUAUCAACCACGCUGUUCAAAUUGUUGGCUAUGACAAAUCAGGUGAAAUACCGUACUAUAUUGUUCGAAACUCAUGGGGAAAAGACUGGGGAUUGAACGGUUACCUUCACGUAAAAAUUGGUUCAAAUAUGUGCGGUAUUGCUACGAUUGUCGGCUCCUUAGAUGUGUAGUUAAUAUAUUUUCAUAAUAUACUAAUAAUACUAUAUAUAGGCAGAGGUGUAUCCAGGAUUUUUCUAAGUGGAUCGUGAAUUUCAUUUGUUUUGUAAUUUCAUAUAAUGUAAAAUUUUCUUUCUAUUGAAAUAGGCAAUGGUUAAGAUCACUAAAUAAUCUGUACAUAACUACAGAUUGUAAGGAAUUAUAAUCCUAAUUCUUGUACUUCCCAAUCAAACAAAUAGGUAGGACGCAAAUUGAUGAAAAACACAACACAACAGAAAAGAACUAAGUAUUUAAUGUAUCAAUACAAACAGAAAAGUAAAGCUAUUCUAAUAGCGUAUAUAUACAAAGAAUGCAAACAAAUACAAAAUGAUUAUGAAUUCAGAAAUUAAUACUUUGAAGACAUGGUCUACUUUUCAAAAUGAAUACUGUGAAUUUUUACAAUUAGUAUUGUGGCAUUUAUUUAACUGGCAUUAAAUCACCUAAACUACAUCAUCUCGAGGUUUUACAAAUAAGAUAUCUGAGUCAGUGGACCUUUCAGUAUGAUUACUGUACUGUACUAUCCUUUUGAAUUACAUCCUGCAAUAUUAUCUAAGAGUGAAAUAUUGCAUAUCUUUUUAGUUGGUUUUGUCUUGUUUCUUUUAUUAUGAUGUUAGAAAAACCACACAGCAAGUUCCAAUUCAUUUACAGUUUCUCUCGCUAAUAAUUCUCCAAAACAGGAUAUGCGACAGUUUCACUAUCCCAUUAACCAACAUACAUUUUAACAUAAAAAAUAAUGUAAUAUAAAAUACUGUACUAAUGCAGUUUCUCUAUCUCAUAAAAAAACAUACAUUUUAACAUUGAUACAUAUACCUAUACUGUACGUAGUACAACAAUCUAGUAAGAUUUCAUGUCUGCUGUAAUAUAACAAGUACAGUAAAAUGUAACAGCAACUGCUGUUGCUACUACCAUAAUUACAGCAUAAUGCACAACCUUGCAUUUCAUAAAUGUAACAUCAUUACAGUGUUAUAAUUAUAGAAAUUAAAUAAAUAUAAUUAAAUAAAAUUUGUAAAAUUUGUAUUUUCAUCAAACAUUUUUAACAAUUCCUACAAAUGAUGAUGCAAUUCACCAGUGUUAUUUAUUAAUCAACUUGCUAUAAAUAUAUAUAAAUAUAUGAAUAUUAUGUAUAUUGUAAAAUGUCAUUGCAUUAAUUAUGUACGAGAAUGUUUCCAGAUAUUCUGUUUCGAGAGCAUUAAACGCCUGUAUUUCAAGUGUGUUUCUUCACAAUCACAAUUUUCCAUCAAUCAAUCAAUUAUUAUUUAAUUUCCUUAUUUGAAGUAUACACAAACUACAACCAGGAUUUAAAGGAGCCAUUCUGGCGUACAAAUAUAUGAAACUGGGCUACAUUUUGGCAGUUUCCAUUUUCAUUAAUGCAUGAACAACAUAAUAAUAAUAAUAAUAAUGCAUGAGUUCAAUACUUGCUCCAGAGCAUGUAGACCUUCUGUAUCAACCCACCAUGAUAUAAUCUCAAUUAUAUAUAUAAAUAUAUAUACUAUACAUGAUAGAAUAAAGCCCCUCAUACAUAAUAGAAAAUAUGGCCAUUAAGUUUGUCAGAUUCUGGACUUGGUGAAAGUUGCAUUUGCUCUUGCUGUGGUGUCACUUCAGCAGUAUAAUGAAUAUUCAUUAUUGCAUCAUUGUGAAUUAUGCAAAUGAGUCAACUAGCAAACUGUCUGUAAUAGAAAAAUGAUAUUAGAUUUAACAAACAAAUAUUAAAACUUACAUAAUAAUAAAAAUGGUUUAAAAGUAAAUGUGUAAUAAUAAUUUAAAUUCAUUCUCCCUUAAAUAACAUUAUUUCAUAGGGUUUGUAUUUAUACAUAUUCAACACCAACAUCAGCUGGAUAAAACUUGACUAUAACAUAUCCCAAUGUGAAUUAAUCAGCCUUCUCCUACAGCAUUCUGGUAGCAUGGAGGGUUACUCCUCCGUGCUAUUGGGUUGAAUAUUCAUGAUAAACAUGACUUAUAAUAUAUAUUUGUUUAAAUGAAGUAUCUUGUGUAAGCCUUUUUGGCCCUUAAUUGAAUAAUGAUAUAACGUACAAUGUUAAAUGUACUUACUAUAAAUAUUUCAUCCUUGCCCUGGAUCUCUUCCAGGACAUGGAUGAAAUAUUUAUAGUGAAGUACUUUUAACAUCGUACAUUAUAUUAUUAUUCAGUUAAUGGUACACAAGAUACUUCAAUAACCAUAAUAGGAUGAUACAACAUAUAUAAGGACAUAUACAAGAUAAGGACCUUGUAUGUAGUAGAAAAUAUGGACACUAACACUGGUCAAAGAACGAGCAGCAAGCCCAAAAUCGUGUAGUCAACCGAAUUGCCAUUGGAGUAGGGUGCCGCAUAUCGGCAGCGUGUAUAAAAACUGCCCUUAGCAUUCAAAUAAAAAAUAAAUACUACAGUGUUCACUAAAACAGUUGUUAGGAAAUAGGCAACCUGGUUAGGAUCAAUCUGCUGUGAAACUUGUGUGCCACCCACCACUUCGGCCGCGCUGUUUCUCUUGCUGUGCUGUCACUUCUGUUUGUAGUUUCAAGUGUCUGACAAUGAAUAUUCAUUAUCAUUACAUCAUUGUGAUGAUGCCAUGGUUUGGUGAAUUAUGCAAAUGAGUCAACUAGCAAACAACCUGUAAUAAAAAAUGAUAUUUGAUUUAACAAACAAAUAUUAAGACUUACAUUAAUAAUAAAAAUGGAUUAAAA